UACGUAGGGUGCAGGCGUUAAUCGGAAUUACUGGGCGUAAAGCGUGCGCAGGCGGUUUCUUAAGUCAGAUGUGAAAGCCCCGGGCUUAACCUGGGAACUGCGUUUGGAACUGGGAGACUUGAGUGUGGCAGAGGGGGGUGGAAUUCCACGUGUAGCAGUGAAAUGCGUAGAUAUGUGGAGGAACACCAAUGGCGAAGGCAGCCCCCUGGGUCAACACUGACGCUCAUGCACGAAAGCGUGGGGAGCAAACAGG
rnacentral:rRNA from 1 species